UCCGCCAGGGUAUUACGAGCAUCAGCUUAAAAUCCAAAGGACUUGACGGUGCCUUAAAACCCCCUAGAGGAGCCUGUUCUAGAAUCGAUAAUCCCCGUUAAACCUCACCAUUUCUGGCCAACCCAGCCUAUAUACCACCGUCGCCAGCUUACCCUAUGAAGGAGUAAAAGUAAGCAAAAAGAGCACUGCCCAGAACGUCAGGUCAAGGUGUAGCGAACGAAAUGGGAAGAAAUGGGCUACAUUUUCUACUAACAGAAUAUUACGAACACGCAAUAUGAAACUAAUGCUUGAAGGAGGAUUUAGUAGUAAAAAGGAA
rnacentral:rRNA from 1 species